GGGCCCGCACAAGCGGUGGAGCAUGUGGUUUAAUUCGAAGCAACGCGAAGAACCUUACCAGGUCUUGACAUCUGCAGAACCUCGUUGAAAGAUGAGGGUGCCUUCGGGAGCUGCAAGACAGGUGGUGCAUGGUUGUCGUCAGCUCGUGUCGUGAGAUGUUGGGUUAAGUCCCGCAACGAGCGCAACCCUUGCUAUUAGUUGCUAACAAGUUAAGUUGAGCACUCUAAUGGGACUGCCGGUGACAAGCCGGAGGAAGGUGGGGAUGACGUCAAAUCAUCAUGCCCUUUAUGAUCUGGGCUACACACGUGCUACAAUGGGCGGUACAAAGGGAAGCUAAGUCGUGAGGCGGAGCGGAUCCCAAAAAGCCGUUCUCAGUUCGGAUUGCAGGCUGCAACUCGCCUGCAUGAAGUCGGAAUCGCUAGUAAUCGCGAAUCAGCACGUCGCGGUGAAUACGUUCCCGGGCCUU
rnacentral:rRNA from 1 species